UACGGAGGGUGCAAGCGUUAUCCGGAUUCACUGGGUUUAAAGGGUGCGUAGGCGGGUAUUUAAGUCAGUGGUGAAAUCCUAGAGCUUAACUCUAGAACUGCCAUUGAUACUAUUUAUCUUGAAUAUUGUGGAGGUAAGCGGAAUAUGUCAUGUAGCGGUGAAAUGCUUAGAUAUGACAUAGAACACCUAUUGCGAAGGCAGCUUACUACGCAUAUAUUGACGCUGAGGCACGAAAGCGUGGGGAUCAAACAGGAUUAGAUACCCUGGUAGUCCACGCCCUAAACGAUGGAUACUCGACAUACGCGAUACACUGUGUGUGUCUGAGCGAAAGCAUUAAGUAUCCCACCUGGGAAGUACGACCGCAAGGUUGAAACUCAAAGG
rnacentral:rRNA from 1 species